rnacentral:tRNA from 1 species
GGGUUGGCUCAGUGGUUAGAGUGUAGCUCUCUAACCGAAAGGUCGCGGGAUCGAAUCCCGCUAGAGGCUG